CGGUAAAGCACGCCCCCUUCUGCUCCCGCCUUCGGCUUUAACUCUCCGCCGCUCAGACGCCCGCUCCUUUCCAUUCGGCGUUGGUCUCUGGGUCCCGGCGUGUCCGGACGUAGCGACGGAGCGGUUCUGCGCACGCGCGCCCCCAUACGACCUCCGCCGCCCCUCCCCUUCGUGUAAAAGCUGCCAAUAAAAAAGGUUCCUAAGGUCUCA